GGAAGGGGGCUGCAGCUGGUUUUUCCUCUGAAUUAUGAGCUUUAAUGAGCCAUUAAUACUCUUUUCUUGGGCUGUAUCAGAUCUGAAACCAGAACCCUAGCCCACACAAGCCCUGGCCGCCACCUAUAGGCAAGGAUUAGAGUGAAAUCCUUAUUUUCUUACAUGCAAAACAGCACCAGAAAAUAUUUCACGUAAACACCAACCAAACAAGCAAACCAGCACCCUUCCCCUUGCUCCUAAGAGGCCUCCACUCGUCACCCUUGCACCACCAGCAGCCACCGCCCACCAAGGAGGAGGAGACACGAGAAAGAGAGAAAAACCGCAAGGAAGGAGAGGAAACGCGAGAAGGAGAGGAAGCACGUGGAGGAAGGAGAAUUUUGGACAGCAGAGGAAGCUCUUUCUAUUCUUCACUUCUCUCCAUCAAAAUCCUGCUUCUUUUCAUCUAAAUUCAUUCAAAACCCGAGAUGGUCGUGAAGAUAAUGGCGACGACUCAUUCUUGGGAGUUGAUGCUACGUGACGAGACACUACCAGAUGACGACUACACUUCUGAUGAAGAGGAAGAAGAUAAAGAGGAAGGGGCCAAGGAUAUGGUUGGGUUGUGAGACAUCCAUUUUUCUUUUGGGUUGAGAGUACCGAGUUUUGGAAGUAUUGAACCAUUACUUUAUUUUAGUUGAGAUAGUUUAACUUGAUGUAAUUUACUUUGAAGUUUUCUUCCGGAUAUUUAUUUCAUACUCUUUUCAAUGAUUAAUAAAGUUUGAGGUUUAGGUUGA